rnacentral:rRNA from 1 species
AGCAGCCGCGGUAAUUCCAGCUCCAAUAGCGUAUAUUAAAGUUGCUGCAGUUAAAAAGCUCGUAGUUGAAUUUCGGGACCAUCAUGUCGGUCGUGCCUCGGUACGUACUGGCAUUGUUGGUUUCUACCUUCUGACGAACCAUGAUGUCAUUUAUUUGGUGUCGUGGGAAAUCAGGACUGUUACUUUGAAAAAAUUAGAGUGUUUAAAGCAGGCUCACGCUUGAAUACAUUAGCAUGGAAUAAUGAAAUAGGACGUUUGAUUCUAUUUUGUUGGUUUCUAGGAUCGACGUAAUGAUUAAUAGGGAUAGUUGGGGGCAUUAGUAUUCAAUUGUCAGAGGUGAAAUUCUUGGAUUUUAUUGAAGACUAACUACUGCGAAAGCAUUUGCCAAGGAUGUUUUCAUUAAUCAAGAACGAAAGUUAGGGGAUCGAAGACGAUCAGAUACCGUCGUAGUCUUAACCAUAAACUAUGCCGACUAGGGAUCGGAUGAUGUUAAUUUUUAAUGACUCAUUC